rnacentral:rRNA from 1 species
CUAGAGACCGGCGCACGGGUGCGUAACGCGUAUGCAAUCUACCUUUUACAGAGGGAUAGCCCAGAGAAAUUUGGAUUAAUACCUCAUAGUAUUAUAGAAUGGCAUCAUUUUAUAAUUAAAGUCACAACGGUAAAAGAUGAGCAUGCGUCCCAUUAGCUAGUUGGUAAGGUAACGGCUUACCAAGGCUACGAUGGGUAGGGGUCCUGAGAGGGAGAUCCCCCACACUGGUACUGAGACACGGACCAGACUCCUACGGGAGGCAGCAGUGAGGAAUAUUGGACAAUGGGCGCAAGCCUGAUCCAGCCAUGCCGCGUGCAGGAUGACGGUCCUAUGGAUUGUAAACUGCUUUUAUACGAGAAGAAACAACAUUACGUGUAAUGUCUUGACGGUAUCGUAAGAAUAAGGAUCGGCUAACUCCGUGCCAGCAGCCGCGGUAAUACGGAGGAUCCAAGCGUUAUCCGGAAUCAUUGGGUUUAAAGGGUCCGUAGGCGGUUUGGUAAGUCA